GUGGGGAAUAUUGGACAAUGGGCGCAAGCCUGAUCCAGCCAUGCCGCGUGUGUGAAGAAGGUCUUCGGAUUGUAAAGCACUUUAAGUUGGGAGGAAGGGCAGUAAGUUAAUACCUUGCUGUUUUGACGUUACCAACAGAAUAAGCACCGGCUAACUUCGUGACAGCAGCCGCGGUAAUACGAAGGGUGCAAGCGUUAAUCGGAAUUACUGGGCGUAAAGCGCGCGUAGGUGGUUUUGUAAGUUGGAGGUGAAAUCCCCGGGCUCAACCUGGGAACUGCCUCCAAAACUGCAUGACUAGAGUACGGUAGAGGGUAGUGGAAUUUCCUGUGUAGCGGUGAAAUGCGUAGAUAUAGGAAGGAACACCAGUGGCGAAGGCGACUACCUGGACUGAUACUGACACUGAGGUGCGAAAGCGUGGGGAGCAAACAGGAUUAGAAACCCUAGUAGUCC
rnacentral:rRNA from 1 species